rnacentral:tRNA from 1 species
GCCUGGGUGGCUCAGUCAGUUGAGCAACCGAUUUUGGCUCGGGUCAUGAUCACGGUUUGUGAGUUCGAGCCCCGCAUCAGGCU